GAGCAAAGGCGUCGAGUUAAAAAAAUGGCGUGAUUUGCAUUGAAGGUUGGCGAUAUCAUUAAGCGAUUCUCCGUGCCCAUCAAAUUUCAAUUUUUCGUUUUGAUCGUGGCCUCGAACAAGUCGCUACAUU
rfam:Gossypium raimondii chromosome 6, whole genome shotgun sequence.